rnacentral:rRNA from 1 species
CCUGCCCUUCAGAGGGGGACAACAGUUGGAAACGACUGCUAAUACCGCAUACGAUCUAGUCUCGGCAUCGAGGAUAGAUGAAAGGUGGCCUCUACAUGUAAGCUAUCACUGAAGGAGGGGAUUGCGUCUGAUUAGCUAGUUGGAGGGGUAACGGCCCACCAAGGCGAUGAUCAGUAGCCGGACUGAGAGGUUGAACGGCCACAUUGGGACUGAGACACGGCCCAGACUCCUACGGGAGGCAGCAUG